UACCGCUAUGAGAUGGAACUCAGUUAA
rnacentral:sRNA from 1 species